UAAAGAAUCUUUAUGUCUUGUGUUUUGAAU
rnacentral:piRNA from 1 species